UUUUACUUAGGCCAUGCUUAAUUGGAAGCAUAGAACUUAAAUUGAGAAAAAAAUCCAUAUGAUAGAUUUUGUUUUUCUCAUGCUUCCCUUUUGAAUAAUAGCAAAUAAUGCAGAGUAAUGGUUCUAAGAGUUCAGGGUAGAUGAAGUCUGUAGGUUUUAGAAGUAUAGAGUUGAAAAGAACCUCCAAGAGGACUUAUUUAAUGAGUGAAAUAAAUGUCCUUAGAUAGAUAUUGUCCCUAAACUCUUUUCUAUUGAAAGUUUAUAGUAUUGAAAAUUUGAUGAUUAUUAGUACCUAGUAUAAAUCAACAUUCAUCUGAUGUUCUCUUUUUAGAUAGCCAAGUUAUAACUUUUUUGAAAAGACAUUAUUGGACUAAGUUAGUAGGUCAGCCUUUUCCUUUGAUAGUGUGUACUCUUAUCUGUCACCCAACCUUCUCCACACCCUCUUCUCUUCAUUCAGUUGUGGACAGCAGUAAUUUUUUCAGGACCUUUGCUUCUUAGAGGAAAUACAUUUUUCCUUAUUUAUAUUUUUAAAAGAUGUUUCUAUUACAUUAUAUAUAGCAAGAGAUCUAUUAAGGAUCCAGAAAAUCUUAACCUGUAGAGGAUAUGAGUUCCUCAUCAUAAGAAUUAGUUUCCUUGAGGGUUCUUUAGUAUAUUCUAUUUACACAGUUUAUGCAUAAGUAAACUCUGUGGCCGAUGUACAUAAAAAAACCUAUCACUUUUAUGCUCAUUCAUCCUCCUAAUUCAGUGUCUGGGUCAUGAGAUGUUUGGUUCAUAGCUUCAAAAACUGUUCAAGAAGACUGAUUUCAGUUCUCUCUAUGUUGAUCUUCCAGUUGAAUCUGGAGUCUUCUGAUUGUGGAAAGGAGUAGCAGAUCACAUUAUACUGAAAAUUGUCCUUUUCAUUGAGAAAUAAAGGUUGACUGAGCUACCUAAAGUCACUUUCCUUUGGACUGUAAGCCUUAGAGAGAACAAUAAUACCUUUGCUUUUCUUGAGGUAGUAUUAGAAAACUCUAGUUCCCAUUGAUAGGAUAAACUUGUUUUCUCGUUUCAUGGUCUUUUUAUAGAAAACAGUCACAAAAUCUUGACAUUUGGCAUCCCUGAAAAGCUCAAGUGGCCUUUUCAAGUAGGGUAUCAUGUAGUAUUCUGCAGGUUUACAGUCAGUAUCCUGCAAGGAAAGGUGACAAACUUCCUGUGAAGUUAGGAAGAAAUAUUAGUAACCCACACACUUGAAGUGAGUUUUCCAUUUUACCUUGUAGAAAUUGUACUAGAGAUAGAACAAAUGAAAUUAGUUUUCUUUUCCAGGUAUAUCCUGUGAGAUACCAGCACAGAGUAUUUUCUCUGAGUUCUCUCAGGGUUAAAGCUCAGUGAGCUUUUCUUUUCUCUUUGGUAGUGUGGAACCAUUUGUACCGUAGAAAGAAUAGCUGGAAAUAUGGAACUCCAAUGUGGCAAUACAGUAAUAAACAGAAGGAAUGAGUCAGUAGGAUAAUAUAUUCGAGUGAUUUCUGUAUAUUUCAGUUAUAAUGUUUUUUAUAUAGUGUAUAUUUCAGUUAUUUCAGUUAUAAUGUGUUUUAGAAUGUGGAUUUAAGCCACCUUCUCACCCUUUGCACCAGUAGCUUUGUUAAAACAUUUUAUUAUGAUCAAAUAACAAGCCUGUUGCUUUUAAGUAAUCUAAGUAUUAACAGAAGGUAAGUCUUCAACUUCUCCCUGUUCUCACCUGGGCCAAGAUCAAUUUUCUAAAUAAAAAAUAGCUUUGUAAUUUGUCUCCAACAAAGAAUGGGAAAUGGAAGGGAACACAAAACUGUGGUCCUGACAAUACUAAUUCUACCCGUUUUCAAAUAAGAAUAAUUAAACUUAUAAAGUGAUAUACUGAUUAUUUUUGUGUUACUCUCCCUUUUUUUUGUUUAAAGUCAAAUUCCAGAAGUAAAAAUCUUUAUCAUACUGUUUUCCUCUUACUAAAACUGGAAGGGUAAAAUAGAAAGUUCAGCAACAUCAGAAAAUGUUGUAUUUAAAAUAAUAUGGAGAAUAGGGGUUUUAAGUACAUAAACCAUAUUGGCUUCCUUGUAGGUUUACUUUUAGUAUAUAACAUGAAUAUGUAGUGCUUCUUUUUACAAUAAUCAAAGUCAUAGCUCCAAGAUAUUGACCUCUUUCUCAAUCUAUAACCUUUGUAGGCAUGCAUUUAUACCAGCAUGUUUUAUAAAUUAUGAGUUUCUAUCUGUGUCCAUGAAGUCUUACUAGUUUUCACUUAAACUUUUGUGGGUUGUUAAGAAGAAUUAAAGUGAUUCAUAACUUCACGCUUGAACCUGGGAGGUGGAGGUUGCAGUGAGCCGAGAUCAUGCCAUUGCACUCCAGCCUGGGCAACAAGAGUGAAACUCUGUCUUAAAUAAAUAAAUAAAGUGGUUCAUAACAUCAGAUGAAGAAGGAGGUGAGUGAUAUGUUAAAUGAUCAGAAACUUGGCAUUACAUUAUUUCCAGGACCAUUUCCCUACCAAAGCUGUGUAUUUUUCAUUUCUUCAUGGCACUGUGCUGUUAAUUUCUGUUAACAUUUGUGCUAAAAUGGAGUGUAAUUUUUACAUAUAAGUGUUAGAAUUUUAGCUAUCUUAGUUGAAACACAAAAAGUUGUUACUGAUCCAAUAAAAUUAUCAAAGGCCA
rnacentral:lncRNA from 1 species